GAUGAACGCUGGCGGCGUGCUUAACACAUGCAAGUCGAACGGGAAUUACAUUUUAGCUUGCUAAGUUGUAAUUCUAGUGGCGGACGGGUGAGUAACGCGUGGGUAACCUGCCUUAUACCGGGGGACAACAGUUGGAAACGGCUGCUAAUACCGCAUAAGCGCACAGUAUCGCAUGAUACAGUGUGAAAAACUCCGGUGGUAUAAGAUGGACCCGCGUCUGAUUAGAUAGUUGGUGAGGUAACGGCUCACCAAGUCGACGAUCAGUAGCCGGCCUGAGAGGGUGAACGGCCACAUUGGGACUGAGACACGGCCCAAACUCC
rnacentral:rRNA from 1 species